GAUGAACGCUGGCUACAGGCUUAACACAUGCAAGUCGAGGGGAAACGCCAUCGAAAGCUUGCUUUUGAUGUGCGUCGAGCGGCGCACGGGUGAGUAACGCGUAUCCCACCUGCCCAUCACUUGGGAUUAACCUUGCGAAACUAAGACUAAUACCCAAUGACAUCCCACGAAGACAACUGAAUGGGACUAACGAUCUAUCGGUUAUGGAUGGGGAUGCGUCUGAUUAGCUUGUUGGUGGGGUAACGGCCCACCAAGGCAACGAUCCGUAGGUGAUCUGAGAGGCAGGUCCCCUAGAUUUGAAAUGAGGCCCAGACCCAACUGCUACGGGAGGGAGGAGUGUGGAAUGCUAUUGACUGGACGAGAGCCUGACCCAGCCGAGUAGCGUGUAGGAGGAUGGGCAUAUGGGUUCUAUACUGCUUUUAUAAGGGAUUUGUGUGGGUCUCGGGAGACUUCUUGCAGGUACCUUAUGAAUAAGCACCGGCUAACUCCGUG
rnacentral:rRNA from 1 species